rnacentral:lncRNA from 1 species
GCUACGCCCGCCCACCACUCCAAUAUAAGAUGCAGCCAGGUGUCAGUCAUCCACCGGCUGCUUCCUUCACCUUCAUCUGUGAAUAAAAACCCUGAAGCAACAGUAUCAAGACGUGCAGGAUGAUCCUGACUGCGGGUAUCUGUUUGAUCGUCACCAGUUUGGCCACCAUCACGACUGCAAGUUCUGGAGUGGUUGAUGGCAAUUACUGUGCUAGAAACAGUGAUGGGUAUUACGCCAACCCAAACGAUGCCACUUGUUACUACAUGUGUUCCUGUGGAGGAACCUUCAACCGAUGCUGCCUGACAGGUUACAUCUUCCAAGAAAGCUCCAGCAAGUGUGUACCAAACCCAAACACAACCCCUGCUCCCACAGCUACAACUACUAGAUCUACAACUACACCGACCACAACUACUACAACUACUCGGUCUACCACAAGCAUUACAACUACUUCAAUCCCUGGUUUCUGCCAGGGGAUGAGUGAUGGAUAUUACGGCAACCCAAACAAUGACACUUGUUACUACAUGUGUUCCUGUGGAGGAACCUUCAACCGAUGCUGCCUGACAGGUUACAACUAUAAAGCUAGUUCCAGCAGCUGUGGGUGACUGUGAAGCAUUUCACAUAGCUUCAUCAAUAACAUAAUAUGUUAAAGUUUCCUAAAUUUAAUUUUUACUCAUAAUGAUUCUCCAUUGUGCUUGAAAAAAGGCUAAAUAACUGCUAUUUUGCGCUUCUAAAUUCCUUCUUUACAAUGAAAAAUCUAUUUACACAGCCAGUCUCUCCAUCAUUGCAACUUGUAUUGACAGUGAAUUGUUUUGUUUGAAUUUGUUUUCAGACAUCCAGCAUGUUGAACAUAAUAAAGGAUUAUUGCAUGAAAUUGUAUUUUGCUUG